rnacentral:lncRNA from 1 species
CAAACAUGAAAAAUCACCAACUACAAAGCAAAAUCAACACCAAAAAACAAAAAUCACCAUCGCAAAAAAAAUAAUCACCACAUCAUUUUCGAUCAUGUCUUUCUCAGCCACCUAACAAUCAUUGUAUUAAACCAAUACCACCACCGCCACAGUGAUACUACUACCAAACCACCACCAACACCAUCUCCAGAUCUGUCGUUGACGAACUGCGAUCGAUUCAAAUGAAGAGUAUCGAAAACGGAGAUGGAGGAACAGAGGUGGAGAAACGGAGGAACAAGGACGGGGCUGUUGGAGGGAGGCAAGCAUCCACGUUGUCGCCGACCAUAAAAU